CAGUCGAACGCGUCUCCGUUAAUGAUUUUAGGUGCUUGCACUUGAAAGAUUUACCCUUGAGACGAGUGGCGAACUGGUGAGUAACACGUGGGUAACCUGCCCUUGAAGUAGGGGAUAACACUUGGAAACAGGUGCUAAUACCGUAUAACAACCAAAACCACCUGGUUUUGGUUUAAAAGACGGCUUCGGCUGUCACUUUAGGAUGGACCCGCGGCGUAUUAGCUUGUUGGUAAGGUAACGGCUUACCAAGGCGAUGAUACGUAGCCGACCUGAGAGGGUAAUCGGCCACAUUGGGACUGAGACACGGCCCAAACUCCUACGGGAGGCAGCAGUAGGGAAUCUUCCACAAUGGACGAAAGUCUGAUGGAGCAACGCCGCGUGAGUGAUGAAGGGUUUCGGCUCGUAAAACUCUGUUGUUGGAGAAGAACAGGUGUCAGAGUAACUGUUGACAUCUUGACGGUAUCCAACCAGAAAGCCACGGCUAACUACGUGCCAGCAGCCGCGGUAAUACGUAGGUGGCAAGCGUUGUCCGGAUUUAUUGGGCGUAAAGCGAGCGCAGGCGGUUUUUUAGGUCUGAUGUGAAAGCCUUCGGCUUAACCGGAGAAGUGCAUCGGAAACCGGGAGACUUGAGUGCAGAAGAGGACAGUGGAACUCCAUGCGUAGCGGUGAAAUGCGUAGAUAUAUGGAAGAACACCAGUGGCGAAGGCGGCUGUCUGGUCUGUAACUGACGCUGAGGCUCGAAAGCAUGGGUAGCGAACAGGAUUAGAUACCCUGGUAGUCCAUGCCGUAAACGAUGAGUGCUAAGUGUUGGAGGGUUUCCGCCCUUCAGUGCUGCAGCU
rnacentral:rRNA from 1 species